AUGGCUACGAAAAACUCUGCUGUCUUCCUCCUCGGGCUUCUUCUCUCUUGCGUUGCCAUGAGCAGCGCCGCGAGAAUCCUAGAAGAGACCGUUCCUUCCAAGGAGGAGCACCAGCCUGAGGUGCCACCGCUUCCCAAGGCACCGUUCCCGGAAGUGCAUCUGCCACCUAAGCCUGAGCUUCCCAAGGUGGAGCUGCCGCCGCUCCCGGAGGUGCACUUGCCACCUAAGCCUGAGUUGCCCAACGUGGAGCUGCCACCUAAGCCAGAGCUGCCCAAGGUGGAGCUGCCAACGUUCCCGGAGGUUCACCUGCCACCCAAGCCAGAGCUGCCCAAGGUGGAGCUGCCAACGUUCCCAGAGGUUCACCUACCACCCAAGCCGGAGAUGCCCAAGGUGGAGCUGCCGCCGAAGCCCGAGAUGCCCACUGUUCCCGGGUUCCACCUCUCGGAGCCAGAGGCCAAGCCAUGA
rnacentral:rRNA from 1 species